UACGUAGGUGGCGAGCGUUGUCCGGAAUCAUUGGGCGUAAAGAGCGCGUAGGUGGCUUGUCAGGUCCGAUGUGAAAACCUGGGGCUCAACUCCAGGCCUGCAUCGGAAACCGGCUUGCUAGAGUCUGGGAGAGGAGAGCGGAAUUCCUGGUGUAGCGGUGAAAUGCGUAGAUAUCAGGAGGAACACCGGUAGCGAAGGCGGCUCUCUGGAACAGUACUGACGCUGAGGCGCGAAAGCUAGGGGAGCGAACAGGAUUAGA
rnacentral:rRNA from 1 species